rnacentral:tRNA from 1 species
AAGGAAAAGGAAACCUGUGUGUUUUCGUUCUUCUCUGUUUGUUCAGUUUUGAGAGGUUACUCUCUUUUAUGUCAGAUAAAGUACGCAAGGCUACAUGCUCUGGAGCAUAGUGCCACUACAUUAUUGACGGGCCUAUAGCUCAGCUGGUUAGAGCGCACGCCUGAUAAGCGUGAGGUCGAUGGUUCGAGUCCAUUUAGGCCCACUUUUUCUUUCUGACACAAAGAAAACAAAAUAUUAUAUCCCUUUUAAGGGGCCUUAGCUCAGCUGGGAGAGCGCCUGCUUUGCACGCAGGAGGUCAGCGGUUCGAUCCCGCUAGGCUCCACCAAAAUUGUUCUUUGAAAACUAGAUAAGAAAGUUAGUAAAGUUAGCAUAGAUAAGUAAUUAUUUAUGACACAAGUAACCGAGAAUCAUCUGAAAGUGAAUCUUUCAUCUAAUUCGAAGUAUCAUCGCUGAUACCGACGAUUAGAAAAACAACCUUUACUUCGUUGAAGUAAAUU